UACGGGGGGGGCAAGCGUUGUUCGGAAUUACUGGGCGUAAAGGGCUCGUAGGCGGCCAACUAAGUCAGACGUGAAAUCCCUCGGCUUAACCGGGGAACUGCGUCUGAUACUGGAUGGCUUGAGUCCGGGAGAGGGAUGCGGAAUUCCAGGUGUAGCGGUGAAAUGCAUAGAUAUCUGGAGGAACACCGGUGGCGAAGGCGGCAUCCUGGACCGGCACUGACGCUGAUGAGCGAAAGCCAGGGGAGCAAACGGG
rnacentral:rRNA from 1 species